rnacentral:rRNA from 1 species
UGGGGAAUUUUGGACAAUGGGCGAAAGCCUGAUCCAGCAAUGCCGCGUGUGUGAAGAAGGCCUUCGGGUUGUAAAGCACUUUUGUCCGGAAAGAAAUCCUUGGCUCUAAUACAGUCGGGGGAUGACGGUACCGGAAGAAUAAGCACCGGCUAACUACGUGCCAGCAGCCGCGGUAAUACGUAGGGUGCAAGCGUUAAUCGGAAUUACUGGGCGUAAAGCGUGCGCAGGCGGUUUGCUAAGACCGAUGUGAAAUCCCCGGGCUCAACCUGGGAACUGCAUUGGUGACUGGCAGGCUAGAGUAUGGCAGAGGGGGGUAGAAUUCCACGUGUAGCAGUGAAAUGCGUAGAGAUGUGGAGGAAUACCGAUGGCGAAGGCAGCCCCCUGGGCCAAUACUGACGCUCAUGCACGAAAGCGUGGGGAGCAAACAGGAUUAGAUACCCUGGUAGUCCACGCCCUAAACGAUGUCAACUAGUUGUGGGGAUUCAUUCCUUAGUAACGUAGCUAACGCGUGAAGUUGACCGCCUGGGGAGUACGGUCGCAAGAUUAAAACUCAAAGGAAUUGACGGGGUCAUAGCUG